UCUAUCCUUAAAAAAAAAAAGAAACCUAGUCUUUGCUCUCAAAGAAUUUAUCCUCUGAUGGGGAGGAGGUAGUAAUUAAUCAAAUAAUCUCACAAAUGAAAACAAAAAUUCCCUGUGGCUAAUGAGGUAGUAGAGGCACUUUGAGUACACGUAUAAAGGGAAAUUUGACCACUUGAGGAAAAUCAAAGAAUGCUUCUCCAGGAGAUGACACUUGAGUUGAGAUCUGAAUAGGAAGUAGCUGUUAAAGAGGGGCUGGAAGUACCUCUCAGGUUGAGGGACCAGCAGCUUCAAAUGACCCAGCCGUGGCAGGGAGUCUGCUCAUUAAAGAAAUGUGUGUGUGUGUGUGUGUGUGUGUGUGUGUGUGUGUGUGUGUAUCCUAAAGAAAAAACAAGUCAAGAACAUGAAUAGGUAAUUUACAGAAUAUCUGAUACAAAAGACCAAUUAGCAUAGGAACAAAAGUUCAAACUCAAUAGUUGAAGAAAAUAUAAGAUAAUAUCAUUAAUUGCUUUUGAAUUCAUUAAGAUUUUGUAUUUGUUGUUGAUGAGUGUACUGGAAAAUGAAUAUUCUCAUACAGUUUUGACAAGUUUGUUGAGGCAACAUGUUGGGUCCAUAAGACCACCAGGAGAUUUUCUGAUUUGCUAGGAGGACUCACAGGACUCAGUAUACAGUCAUAUUCAAGACUAUGAUUAAUUUUAUUUUUUCAUUGAAAUAUAAUUAACAAAACAUGGUUUAUUAGUUUCAGUUAUAGAGCAUAAUGAUUCAAUAAUUCUACACAUCACUCAGUGCUCACCACGAAUGACUGAUUUAUUAUACCAAAAGGAUACAAAGUGAAAUCAGCAAAGGGAAAAAGUACAUGGGGUGAAAUCCUGGGGAAACCAGCUAUGAACUUCCAAGAGUCCUCUCCCAGUGGAGUCACGCAGGACACAGUUAACUCUUCCGAUAAUAAAUUGUGAUAACAUGUGUGAAAUGCUGUCUGUCAGGGAAUCUCAUUAGAAACUCAGUGUCUAAGGUUUUAUUGGAGACUGGUCACAUAAAUAUCCAGCUUUACAGGAACCCAAAUUCCAGGGUCCCAGAAUGAAAGCAGGUGUUUAGAAUAGACGAUGUUUUGGCACAGUGAACACUUUUUUCAGUUAGGAAAUGAUGGGAACCCUGUCAAAAUCCAAGAUUUGUAUUAUGAUAUAGAUGUUUUAAUCAAUUCUUUAUCUGUUUGGUCGUAUAAUGAAAAAUGUCAAUGUCAACGACUCAAAGAUUUUUCUCUUACGUUUUCUAAAAGGUUUAUUGUUAUAGUUCUUUCAUUUAUAUCUAUUACCAAUUUUUGUGUAUAGGCAUAAUUUUUGUAUAUGCUGUGAGGUAAGUGUCCAAGUCCAUCUCUUUGAAUAAAAAGUUUUGUUGAAACAGUCAAUUGACUAUAAAUAAAAGGGUUUAUUUUUGGUUAUCAACUCUAUUCCAUUGAUAUAUAUGCCUAUUUUUAUGCUAGUACCACACAGUCUUCAUAAAUAAUAGCUUUAUAUUAAGUUUUGAAAUUAGAAAGUAAAAGUACCUCAAUCUUUCUUCUCUUUUCAAAAUUGUCUUGGAUGUUAUGGGUCUUUGCUUUUCCCUGUGAUUUUUAAGAUCAAUGUUUAAAUUUCUGCAAAAAAAAAGAGCCUUGUGAAAUUUUAUAGAGAUUUCAUUGAAUCCAUAAAUAAAUAAAGAUAAACUUGUCAUCUUAACUACUGAGCCUUCCACCCCAUGAACAUGGAAUGACUCUCUGAGUAUUUAGAUAUUUUUAAUUUCUCUCAAAGAUGUUUUGUAAUUUUCACUGUGCCAUCUUAUACUUCUUUAGUUAAAUUUAUUCAUGAGGAUUUACUUUUUGAUGUGAUUUAGAAAAUAAUUGUAUUCUUAAUUUCAUUUUCAGAUUGUUCAUUGUAUAUAAAAAUACAAUUUUUUCUGUAUAUUAAUCUUAUAUUCCGUGAUCUCAUACUAGGUCUAAUUUUUUUUUGUAUUUCUUGGGGUUUUUUAUUUGUAUUACUUUUUCUUAAAAUGUUUGAUAGAAUUUACUAGUAAAGCAAUUUGGGCCUGAGAUUUGAUUAGUGGGGCUAUAUGUAAUUCAUAAGUUCAAUUUCUUUACAUAUUAUAAGUAUUAUAGGUAUACACAGUUUUUCUAUUUGUUCUUGACUCAGGUUAGUUAAUGUUUUUAAAAUUUGUAGUUUUCAUCUAAGUUGUUGAGUUUGUUGAUGUAACAUUGCUCAUACUAUUAUUCCUUAAUUAUCCUUUUGCUUUUAGAAGGGUCAGUAGUAAUGUCCCCUUUUCUCUUGCUAAUUUUGGCAUUCUGUGUCUUAUCUUUUGUUUUCUUGGUUAAUAUAGCUGAUGGUUUAUCAAUUUAGUUGAUAUUUUUUAAAAAUAAACUUUUGUUUUUGCUUGUAUUUUAAUUUUUCCAUUUUCUAUUUCAUUGAUUUCCAACCUAAUCUGUUUCAUUCUUUCUCUUUGCCUUGUGUUUAGUUUGCUCUUCUUUUUUUGAGCUCAUUAAAGAUACAAGCUUUGAUUAUUGGUUUAAGUUCAUUCUUCUUUUCUAAUAUAGUCAUUUAAAGCUGUAAAUUUCUAUCUAAUCACUGCUUACCAAAGAUUAUGCUAUAUUCUCUUUACAUUUUCUUUCAUAUCAAAAUAAAUUCUAAUACCUUUGUAGUUUCUUUUUUGACUCAUUUAGAAAUGUGUUAUUUAGAAAUGUAGUACUUAAUUGCCCCAUAUUUGUGGAGGUCCCAAAUUCCUUAUAUUCUCAGUUUUCAAUUUAAUUCUAUUGUGAUUGAAGGGUAUAUUUUGUUUCAUUUCAGUCCUUUUAAAUUUAUUCAUACUUGUGUUUUGGGCUCUUAUGUGGUCCUUGUGGAGAAUGUUCCAUGUGUGCUUGAAAAUAAUUUGCAUUGUGCAAUUGGUCAAGCGUUUUUGCUUAGGCCAUGAUCUCAGGGUCCUGAAAUUGAGUGCUGUAUUGGGCUCUGUACUCAGCACAAAGUUUGCUUGUCUCUCUCCCUCCUACUCUGCCCCCUGUCCUGCUGCCUCUUUCUCUCAAACAAAUAAAUAAAAUCUUGUCUUUUUAAAAAAGAUUAAUUAAUUAAUUAAUUAAUUUAUUCAUGACAGACACAGACUCAGAGAGAGAGAGGCAGAGACACAGGCAGAGGGAGAAGCAGGCUCCAUACAGGGAGCCCGACAUGGGACUCGAUCCUGGGUCUCCAGGAUCAGGCCCUGGGCCGAAGGCAGUGCUAAACUGCUGGACGACCAGGGCUGCCCUUUAAAAAAUUUUUACCCUUUUAAUUAUUUUCACAGUCUUCUUUUUUUUUAAUGGAGAUCCAAAUUAUUAUCUGACUUUUUUUUCCCCUUUGGCCAGAAAGACUUUCUUUCAUAUUUCUUAUAGGGCAGGUGUACUGGUGGCAAAUUAUCUGAUUGUGUUUCUCUGGGGAUAUUUUAAUUUAUUUUUACUUUUGAGGGAUAGUUUUGCUGAAUAUAUGUCUUGUUUGAAUCUUCUUUUAUUUUAGUACUUGGAAUAUGUCAUCCAACUAUGUCCCGGCCUUCAUGCUUUCUGAUUGAAAUAAGUUAUUCAUCUCACUGAGGAUUCCUUAUAUGUGAAGAGAUUUGCCCUUGCUGUUUUUAAUAUUUUCUCAUUGUUUUUUACUUUUGACAUUAUGACUGCAGUGUGUGUACUUAGAGAUUUUUUUUUAGUUUUUCCUGCUUUGGAGUUUGAUGGGCUCAUGGAUAUGUAAAUUAAUGUUCUUCAUCAAAAUUGUGAAGUUUUUAUUUUUAUUUUUUAAAUUUAGAUUUAUCUUUUCAAAUUAUUUUUCUUCCUGCCUUUUCUUCUUUCUCUUCUUACUCUGGGACCCUCAUUAUGUGUAUGUUGAUAAGCUUCAGAGUAUCACACAGGUUUCUGAGAUUUGGUUCAUUUUUUCUUCAUUCUGUUUUUCUUUCUGUUCUUCAGACUGGGAUAAUAUAUAUUUUUAAAUAUUUUAUUUAUUUAUUCACAAGAGACAUAAGAGAGAGGCAGAGACAGAGGCAGAAGGAAAAGCAGGCUCCUGCUUCUGGUGUGGGACUCAAUCCCAGGACCCCAGGAUCAUGACUUGAGCCAAAGGCAGACGCUCAACCACUGAGCCACCCAGGCAUCCCCAGACUAGAUCAUCUUAAUUGAUCUCUUUUCAAGUUUGUUCUGUCUAUUGCCCCUGUAGUGGAUUUUUUAUUUUACUUAUUAUAAUUUAAAUCCCCAGCAUUUUUUUGCUUCUUCUUCUUCUUCCUCUUCUUUUUUGGUACUUGUUUUUUUAUUUUGCUCUGUUGAUAUUCUCCAUUUGGUAAGGCAUGGUUGGCAUACUUUCAUUCUUGAAUCCUAGUUUCCUUUAUUUCUUUGAACAUACUUAAUGUGGCUUAUUUAAAGUCUUUGUCUAACUUAAAAUCUUGGCCCCAGCAGACAUUUUCUAUUGCUCACCCUUUUCCUGUGUGGGGUCCAUAGUUUUCUGGUAUGUUGCACAUUUCAUAAUUCUCUUUAAACUGAUCAUUUUUGAUAACAUAUUGUGGCAACUUUGGAGUUAGAGCUCCCCAUCACACUUUGGAUUUGUUGUUGUAUCUCUGGUUGAUUUUUCUGGAUCCUGCUUGUUUGCUUAGUGCCAUUCCUGGACUAUUUAUUUGUAUAGACUUCAUAUUCCCUGCUGUGUGUGGUGACUUACAAUAAAAAAAAAAAAACCUUAAAUUUAAAAAAAACUUAAAAUUAAAAAAAAAACUAAGUCUGGCUUCUUAUGGGUUACCUCUGGAGCAGCACAGUGUAAUAGUCAGCCAAUGAUCAGUCAUAAAAGUUCCUUAAAU
rnacentral:lncRNA from 1 species